CUGUGUGCAAAUCUCAGAUGCCAGACCCUAAGACGUACAAACAGCACUUUGAAAGUAAACAUCCGAAAGCUCCACUCCCACCAGAGUUACAAGAAUAAACACAAAGACUUUACGAAGAAUAAUGUCAAUAUCUUUUGGUUCUUAAUCCGUCAACUCUGACAGUAGAGAAUAAGGUGUCGUCACGGAACACGACUAUGUUUUAUUUGACAUGUUCACAUGCAAAUUUUAUAAUAAAUGUACUUUUUCAAAAAAAAUUCUUAGUUUAUUUUUAAUUCCUAAACUAUUGAAAAACAGCCCAAUUUCACUUAUUUUUUACCCAUUCUUGUGCGCAAAAGUGUUUAAGCUCAGUUUGAAUGCUAAAAAGUUUUUCUAUCCCCUGUCAAACUUGAAAUUAUCUUCAAUAGCAGCACCCAUAGCAACAGAGUUUUUUUUAUAUCAUUUUUACUAGCGUACCACAUUCGAUAAAAAUGUGUUUUUCAUAUAUGUCUUCGAAACGCUUUAACAUUUGUAUCAUUCUACUUUUUAUCAUGUCUGUUUUUUCUCAGUACGUUUUUGUAUAUAUGUUAGUUGUUCCAGGGUUUAAAUUUUCUUUCUGUUGUUUGAAAUAUUUUUUAUUAACCGUCUAAGUGAGUUGUAUUUUAACGCCUUAACAUAAUUUUAUAUUAGCGUAUAAAAUAAAAGAUGCAAAUGAGUGAAAAACACGA